CUGCUUCCAAGCCUGGAAGGUCAUCGACUCGUAAGCCUACAAGCUGUCCCACGGCUGCCUUCAUUUCCACCCAGGUUAACUAAUUUGCAUGCAUAUUUUAGGUUACUCAAGAUCAACUGAGUGCACUAGGCAUCCGUAGUUGCAAAACGAUUCUGGAUUUUUGCUUGGUAAAUUUUCUGGAAUUACUAAUUUGUGCAUGUAUCGGUCAGCAAUCAAAAUCAUUUGUUGAUCGAGAAGUCCAAAAAUAGCAAGAAAGGAUGCUCAACGGGACUUGGUCACGCCGAGAUAUCAGCAGCAAUCGACACCGACAAAGCUCAAUUAUCUAUUGCAUAUUCAGAAGAAAGCAUCUCCUGUCGACAAUCAAGGCACUAUGACAGGUAGCUCAAGCCUAAGAUGCAAACAUCUCUAGGAAUGGAGUUGCUGACGGUAUGCAAAGAAUGAGACAAUGGUGAUGGUCAGGAUCGAUGUGUCAAGCAUCUGAGACAUAUCGACGUCAAGACAUGGAAGAGGGCUCUCUACCCUUAUAGAUAGGCCUUCUUACCAUGCUGCAUUACUAACCUGCACAAUUAAUGUGUAUCGAAAUUAACUUUGGAAGAACAUUAAGCAUGCAAACAUAGCUGUGGAGAAUCCUUGGAACAUCUUACCUGCAAUGUUAACUUAAACCUUCUGGAUCAGCAAAUGCUUCAUCCUUCUCUUCAAAUGUAAAUUCUACUGCCCAGAACAAACCAGUUAAAGAGUUA